rnacentral:tRNA from 1 species
GUGGUUGUGGCUCAGCGGUAGAGCGCUCGCCUAGCAUGUGCAAGGCCCUGGGUUCAAUCCUCAGCACCACA